rnacentral:rRNA from 1 species
GCUGAAACUUAAGCAUAUCAAUAAGCGGAGGAAAAGAAACCAACAGGGAUUGCCUCAGUAACGGCGAGUGAAGCGGCAACAGCUCAAAUUUGAAAUCUGGCCUUCGGGUCCGAGUUGUAAUUUGGAGAGGAUGCUUUUGGCGCGGCGCCGUCCGAGUUCCUUGGAACAGGACGCCAUAGAGGGUGAGAGCCCCGUACGGGCGGCCGCCUAGCCUCUGUAAAGCUCCUUCGACGAGUCGAGUAGUUUGGGAAUGCUGCUCAAAAUGGGAGGUAAAUUUCUUCUAAAGCUAAAUACUGGCCAGAGACCGAUAGCGCACAAGUAGAGUGAUCGAAAGAUGAAAAGCACUUUGAAAAGAGGGUUAAAAAGUACGUGAAAUUGUUGAAAGGGAAGCGCCUGUGACCAGACUUGCGGCCCGUGGACCAUCCGGUGUUCUUCACCGGUGCACUCUGCGGGCUGCAGGCCAGCAUCGGUUCUCCUAGGGGGACAAAGGUCGCGGGAACGUAGCUCCUUCGGGAGUGUUAUAGCCCGCUUCGUCAUGCCUCUGGGGGGACCGAGGACCGCGCUUCGGCAAGGAUGCUGGCGUAAUGGUCACCGGCGACCCGUCUUGAAACACGGACCAAGGAGUCAAGCAUUGGGGCGAGUGUCUGGGUGCCAAACCCGCACGCGAAAUGAAAGUAAACGCAGGUGAGAGCUUCGGCGCAUCACCGACCGAUCCUGAUGUCUUCGGAUGGAUUUGAGUAAGAGCCUUACCGCUUGGACCCGAAAGAUGGUGAACUAUGCCUGUAUAGGGUGAAGCCAGAGGAAACUCUGGUGGAGGCUCGCAGCGGUUCUGACGUGCAAAUCGAUCGUCAAAUAUGGGCAUGGGGCGAAAGACUAAUCGAACCAUCUAGUAGCUGGUUACCG